CGCGGUCCUGCCCCAUCCCAGGUACCUUGUCCCUCUCCUGGUCCCGGGACUCCCAUAUCCCUGUCCUGAAUGUGGUGCCCUGUGUCCCUGCAUGCUCCCAGUACCCCCUUGUCCCUGUCUUGGUCCCCACACAUCCCUUCCUAAUCCCAGUAAUCCCAUGUCGCUGUCCUGUUCUCCCACAUCUCAGGUCCCUUGUCCCUGUCCAAAUCGCAGUCCCCCCAUGUCCCU